GACGUAGGGUGCAAGCGUUGUCCGGAUUUACUGGGCGUAAAGGGCGCGUAGGCGGCAUAUUAAGUCAUCUGUGAAAUCUCCGAGCUUAACUCGGAACUGUCAGCUGAUACUGAUGUGCUAGAGUGCGGAAGGGGCAAUCGGAAUUCUUGGUGUAGCGGUGAAAUGCGUAGAUAUCAAGAGGAACACCUGAGGUGAAGACGGGUUGCUGGGCCGACACUGACGCUGAGUGCGCGAAAGCCAGGGGAGCAAACGGG
rnacentral:rRNA from 1 species